GUAAAGGCAAAAGAGAGCUUGAUUGCAAGACAUACAGGUCGAGCAAGGAUGAAAAUCGGACUUAGUGAUCCGGUGGUUCUGCGUGGAAGGGCCAUCGCUCAACGGAUAAAAGCUACCCUGGGGAUAACAGGCUUAUCUCCCCCAAGAGUCCACAUCGACGGGGAGGUUUGGCACCUCGAUGUCGGCUCAUCACAUCCUGGGGCUGUAGUAGGUCCCAAGGGUUGGGCUGUUCGCCCAUUAAAGUGGUACGCGAGCUGGGUUCAGAACGUCGUGAGACAGUUCGGUCCCUAUCCGUCGCAGGCGUAGGAAAUUUGAGAAGACCUGUCCUUAGUACGAGAGGACCGGGAUGGACGUACCUCUGGUGUACCAGUUGUCCUGCCAAGGGCAUGGCUGGGUAGCUAUGUACGGAAUGGAUAAGCGCUGAAAGCAUCUAAGCGCGAAGCCAACUUCAAGAUAAGAUUUCCCACCGCAAGGGUAAGACCCCAGAAAGACUAUCUGGUUGAUAGGUCGAAGGUGUAAGUGCAGUAAUGUAUUUAGCUUAUCGAUACUAAUAGGUCGAGGACUUGACCAAU
rnacentral:rRNA from 1 species